rnacentral:lncRNA from 1 species
GAAGUUGAGCUUCAGGCGCGGCUCUUCCCCGUCACACUGGGACCGGACGCAUUUCUAUGGCGUGGUCCCAGGAACCUCUCAAUGCUCUGCUUGGCUGGCAGGUACAGAAUGUGCCAGACCCAUCUGUACCAGCCUGUAUCUCUUGAGGCAUCAGCACAAUGGACCUGGCCACACCAGUUUGUUCCACACCGCUGAGGCUGG